rnacentral:rRNA from 1 species
UACGUAGGGUGCAAGCGUUGUCCGGAAUUAUUGGGCGUAAAGAGCUCGUAGGCGGUUUGUCGCGUCGAAUGUGAAAACCCGGGGCUCAACCCCGGGCCUGCAUUCGAUACGGGCAGACUAGAGUUCGGUAGGGGGAGUCUGGAAUUCCUGGUGUAGCGGUGAAAUGCGCAGAUAUCAGGAGGAACACCGGUGGCGAAGGCGGGACUCUGGGCCGAUACUGACGCUGAGGAGCGAAAGCGUGGGGAGCAAACAGG